rnacentral:rRNA from 1 species
UACGGAGGGUGCAAGCGUUGUUCGGAAUCACUGGGCGUAAAGCGCGUGUAGGCGGCCUCCUCAGUCGGAUGUGAAAGCCCGGGGCUCACCCCCGGAAGUGCAUUGGAUACUGGGAGGCUGGAGUACCGGAGAGGGGGGUGGAAUUCCUGGUGUAGCGGUGAAAUGCGUAGAGAUCAGGAGGAACACCGGUGGCGAAGGCGGCCCUCUGGACGGAUACUGACGCUGAGACGCGACAGCGUGGGGAGCAAACAGG